UCGAUAUCGAGAAGGACCGCGACCGUGUA
rnacentral:sRNA from 1 species